rnacentral:rRNA from 1 species
GUCUACGGCCAUACCACCCUGAACGCGCCCGAUCUCGUCUGAUCUCGGAAAGCUAAGCAGGGUCGGGCCCGGUUAGUACUUGGAUGGGAGACCGCCUGGGAAUACCGGGUGCUGUAGGAC